GCUUAACACAUGCAAGUCGAGCGCCCCGCAAGGGGAGCGGCAGACGGGUGAGUAACGCGUGGGAAUCUACCCAUCUCUACGGAACAACUCCGGGAAACUGGAGCUAAUACCGUAUACGUCCUUUUGGAGAAAGAUUUAUCGGAGAUGGAUGAGCCCGCGUUGGAUUAGCUAGUUGGUGGGGUAAUGGCCUACCAAGGCGACGAUCCAUAGCUGGUCUGAGAGGAUGAUCAGCCACACUGGGACUGAGACACGGCCCAGACUCCUACGGGAGGCAGCAGUGGGGAAUAUUGGACAAUGGGCGCAAGCCUGAUCCAGCCAUGCCGCGUGAGUGAUGAAGGCCCUAGGGUUGUAAAGCUCUUUCAACGGUGAAGAUAAUGACGGUAACCGUAAAAGAAGCCCCGGCUAACUUCGUGCCAGCAGCCGCGGUAAUACGAAGGGGGCUAGCGUUGUUCGGAAUUACUGGGCGUAAAGCGCACGUAGGCGGAUUGUUAAUUUAGGGGUGAAAUCCCAGGGCUCAACCCUGGAACUGCCUUUAAUACUGGCAAUCUCAAUUCCGACAGAGGUGAGUGGAAUUCCGAGUGUACAGGUGAAAUUCUUAAAUUUUCGGAGGAACACCAUUGUCCAAGGCGGCUCACUGGAUCGGUACUGACGCUCAGGUGCCAAAUCAUGUGGAGCAAACAUGAUUAUAUACCCUGGCAGUCC
rnacentral:rRNA from 1 species